rnacentral:rRNA from 1 species
UGCCAGCAGCCGCGGUAAUACGUAGGGGGCGAGCGUUGUUCGGAUUUACUGGGCGUAAAGAGAGCGUAGGCGGCUCGUCAAGUCCGGUGUGAAAGCCUCACCGCUUACCGGGAGGAGGUCACCGGAAACUGGCGGACUUGAGCAGGGUAGAGGUAAGCGGAAUUCCUGGUGUAGCGGUGGAAUGUGUAGAUAUCAGGAAGAACAUCUGUGGCGAAGGCGGCUUACUGGGCCCUUGCUGACGCUGAGGCUCGAGAGCGUGGGGAGCGAACGGGAUUAGAUA